rnacentral:rRNA from 1 species
GAUUUCUGGCUCAGUACGCCUGACCGGCCAGGGUUACCUGCGCAAGUGCCGGGCUGUACUAGCCUUUCUUUUGGGGACCGUGCAUACCCUUCACUGGGCCGUGUACGGGACUCAAAUCUUUUACUUUGAAAAAAUUAGAGUGUUUCAAGCAGGCUUUAUGCUAUGAAUACAUUAGCAUGGAAUAAUAAUUUAGGACUUCGGUUCUAUUUUGUUGGUUUCUAGGACUGAAGUAAUGAUUGAUAGGGAUAGUUGGGGGUGCUAGUAUUCAGCGGCCAGAGGUGAAAUUCUCGGAUUCGCUGAAGACUAACUUAUGCGAAAGCAUU